AUUGAACGCUGGCGGAAUGCUUUACACACGCAAGUCGAACGGCAGCACGGACUCCGGUCUGGUGGCGAGUGGCGAACGGGUGAGUAAUGUAUCGGAACGUGCCCAGUCGUGGGGGAUAACGUAGUGAAAAUUACGCUAAUACCGCAUACGAUCUAUGGAUGAAAGCGGGGGAUCGCAAGACCUCGCGCGAUUGGAGCGGCCGAUAUCAGAUUAGGUAGUUGGUGGGGUAAAGGCCCACCAAGCCAACGAUCUGUAGCUGGUCUGAGAGGACGACCAGCCACACUGGAACUGAGACACGGUCCAGACUCCUACGGGAGGCAGCAGUGGGGAAUUUUGGACAAUGGGCGAAAGCCUGAUCCAGCCAUUCCGCGUGCAGGAUGAAGACCCUCGGGUUGUAAACUGCUUUUGUACAGAACGAAAAGGUUUCUACUAAUACUAGGAGCUCAUGACGGUACUGUAAGAAUAAGCACCGGCUAACUACGUGCCAGCCGCCGCAGUAA
rnacentral:rRNA from 1 species